rnacentral:ncRNA from 2 species
AUCUUAUCAAGAGCGGUGGAGGGACUGGCCCGACGAAACCCGGCAACUCUAGUAAAUACUAGAAAGUGCUAAAUCCUGCAGGUGAAAAACCUGGAAGAUAAGAG